CUGGAACAAACGCCCUCACGGGUGCUACCCAGAAACCCUUUGUGAAUACUACCUAAAAUGUUGCCUCGGCAUUGGUUGGCCUCUUUGAGGUCCCUUUCCCUCGGGGAAGGAGCAGACCGGCCGGUGGCCCUAUAAACUCUUGUUUUUGUAAUAUCAUCUGAGCAAAAAACAUAAAUAAAUCAAAACUUUCAACAACGGA
rnacentral:misc_RNA from 1 species